CUCGUGGCGCGCAGGGGCGCAGGCGCACUGCCGGGUCCGUCCUGGGUGCGCGUCCGGGGGCGGCGCGGCAAAGGAGAGGCAGAGAUGUCGAGCAGCUUGCCCGAGGCCGUCCAGCACCCAGAAUGGCAAAGUCCGAGCCCUGCCCUGUGAAAGUGCCCCUGGAUGACAGGUCCGUGAGGCAAACUCUGUCGUGAAGUAAAUGGAGCUUCCAGAGGCCGGACGUUACAGGGAAACGAGCUCUUCCUGCCCGGGAAGCUGCUUUUGCCCAGGAGGGUGGAGAGGAUGGCUGCUGGGUGCCUGCUCCCCUGGCCCCAGUGGGGCUUCCUCUUCCCCCGAAAGGCACCCAGUAUGUCCAGAGGGAACACACCUGUCAGAAGCGCAGUGCCCUUGCUUUGUGGGAAAGACGGGAGAAUUCACCAUGAGCGUCUGGGUCCAGGCACUCGGUCUCCUCCUAAGUGUAGGGAGAGGUGCACUGUAUCCCCAGAGGAGGGCGGCUGUGCUUCCUUCCCAGGGCCUGGAGCAUCUCUGCACCACCUGAAGACCCUGCAGUUUCUCCCAUAGGGCAGGGAGGGCCCCCCGCCAGGUGCCAUCCUCUUUAAAACAUUUAUAUUUUUUAAAAUUUCGGUGAAAUACACAUAACAUUACAUUUAUCAU